AAUAUUGGACAAUGGGGGGAACCCUGAUCUAGCCAUGCCGCGUGUGUUAAGAAGGUCUUCGGAUUGUAAAGCACUUUACGUUGGGAGGAAGAGUUGUAGGCCAAUACCUUGCAAUUUAUACGUUACCAACAGAAUAAGCACCGGCUAACUUCGUGCCACCACCCGCGGUACUAAGAAGGGUGCAAGCGUUACUCGGAAUUACUGGGCGUAAAGCGCGCGUAGGUAGUUCGUUAAGUUGGAAGUGAAAGCCCCGGGCUUAACCUGGGAAUUGCUUUCAAAACUGACGAGCUAGAGUACGGUAGAGGGUAGUGGAAUUUCCUGUGUAGCGGUGAAAUGCGUAGAUAUAGGAAGGAACAUCAGUGGCGAAGGCGACUACCUGGACUGAUACUGACACUGAGGUGCGAAAGCGUGGGGAGCAAACAGG
rnacentral:rRNA from 1 species